ensembl:lncRNA
GAAAGAAGUGAGACAGAGAAGCACGAUGGAUGAAUUCAGAUGGAUUCAAAUGUUUUUAUGUCUGAUGCUGAUGAUUCAGAUUGCAGUAUCUGUAAAUGAAACAUCCAUGUUUAUGAAAGUUGGAGGUGACGUCACUCUGCCUUGUCUAAAUGUGAUAGAUGAGCAGAAUAACUGUGAUGGUACUAUGUGGGUCUUUGCUUCAAGAAACAGAGAAACAGUAGAGCUGAUCAGACUUGGACAGAUUGUUGAAAAAGCCAAAACUAAAUCAGACAGACUGAGUGUUACAGCGAACUGUUCUCUGCUUAUAAAGAAGCUCACAGUUGAGGAUGUUGGUCUUUAUUACUGUCAACAAUACAAAGUCGAGGAAACACCAUCUAAACACACUCUGGUUCAUCAGUCUUUGGUUCAUCUCUCUGUUAUUACCUUGACUGAACAUAAGGACACUGAUAAGGUGACGUUAAGCUGCUCUGUGGUGACAUAUGCAGAGUGUCAUCACACAGUGAAGUGGCUGCUUAAAGGUCAAGCUGUGGACAAAGAGAACAAAGAAACAGUGACUUCACAGACUGACUGCUCCACCACUGUAUCUAUUCUGAAGUAUGAGUAUUUAUACUCAUCACGUCAUAAAAUACUGAAGUGUGAAGUGACUGAUACUAAAACAGGAAAAGUGCAGCUGUUUACCUUCAGCCAUCAGACCUCAGAUGAUACAACAGCAAAAACUGUGGAAAAUGAAAGCACGACACCAAACAACAAAUCAUCUGCAAAUUCACAACAUGGUGUCCUGUGGUUCAUCAUUCCAGCUGUGGGUUUGGUCUCACUCUUGAUAGUUGUUGUGUUUUUCAUCAGAGGGAAGAGAACUAGAGGAAACAAAACACAGAUGGAUGAAGAUGCUGGACUGUGUUUAAUCCCUGCAGACACUCGGUCUGCUCCUCAAACCAGUCAGGACUCGGUUCAGGAUGAUGACAAAGAUGAUGCAUACAGCACUGUGAAGGCUCCUUCCUCUUCUGCUGCAGCCACUGCUCAUCCCAGCAACAUCUACUCUACUGUCAGUUUUCCAGCCAUAUAGUUCAAAUAUUAUACAAAAAGGAUUUCAAAGACUAUUUUUGUUUUGAUUUCUCAUGGAGAAAUUUGUUAGCAAUAUGCUAAAUGGCUUAAAAUAUUCCUGUUAGAUUGCCUAAAUGUGACACAGAGAUGUGCAACAGACUGUUUAACUUAAUAUGUCUAAAAAAGAAACACCUGUUACUGUGAGAGUGCCGGCUGUAUUAUUGUCCUAUAGAAGAAUGCUGUUUUCUUUUGUCUAUAAAUAUAUCAAAAAUGUAUUUUUGCAUUUUUGUAAUAAAAAUAUAGUUGAUGCCUG